rnacentral:rRNA from 1 species
UUGACCUCGGAUCAGGUAGGAAUACCCGCUGAACUUAAGUAUAUCAAGGAAACUAAGAAUAUUGUGAUGCGCUGGUGUCACCUUUUUCUUCCAACCCCCAUUAUUGGUAAUGCCUUGUAACCAAAUUUUUAUCCACCCCCCCGUUAAUUGAUUUGGCUUGUAACAACUUUUAAUUCCAACCCCGCCUUUUUGGAGGGGUUUGUUCCCAAUUUUACCCCCCC